GCGCUGGUGGUGUAGGGGUUAAGCGUGCGACCAUGUACAGAGGCUAUUGUCCUCAAUGAAGCUGUCCUGGGUUCGAGUCCCAGACCCAGUGACCU